ACAUCAAUGUUCCCACAAUCGAGUGUUUAUGAUAUCAAAAUGAAACCUUCACUAAAUUGUUUUUAUGACUUGGUGAGGUGACCUAUAUUUUGUUCGAAAAUAUGUUUCAUUAAAUACAAAUAGAGCGCUAUUGAAAAGACAAGCCCACAGCAUGACUAUGGAUAUACAGUGGGUCAAAAUAGUCUGUACACUGAUGUUAGAUUUUUUCCAUUACACAUAAUGAUAAUUAAAAAGUUGAAUAACUAUAUUUUUAACAAAAAUUUAUUAGGAAACACAUAAAAAUU